GGAGCAUGCUCAGGGAGCCGCCGGCCGGCUGCCAGCCCUGGCGGAGGCCCCGUGGGGGGGGGGGGGGGGCGUGUUCCACCCCAGGAGGAAGCGCCAGGCGGGGGGAUGGGAACAAGGGAGGGCCUGCCCUUAGGGCCAAGGCCACAGAGCCCGGUGGCCAGGGACUGGGCUGAGGAAGGGCACAGGCCGGAGUACCCAAGUGUCUGGGAGCAGCUCUGGUGCUCUUCUUGGCAGGCGAGGGGCUGGAUUCCAUCCUCUAUCUUCCCUGUCACCAUCCACAGCAGGUUAAAUGAAAGGAAGGGCAGAGGCAGGAGGAUCUGGGGAAGAACCGCAACCGCUGCAGGUGGGGGUUCAACAGGCAAAGCUCACUUGAUGGUGCAGUCGCUGCCUACCUAAGCUUCUCCUCAACAAGCCUUCCCGCGGUGGAGGAGGCGAACUGGGGAUGAAUUCCUAGGAACUGGGAAGGCCGCGGAGGCCCCAGCUGAGGGGCCAGG